GCGGGUGUAGCUCAGUUGGUUAGAGCGUCCCCCUGUCACGGGGAAGGUCGCCGGUUCGAGUCCGGUCACUCGCG
rnacentral:tRNA from 1 species